rnacentral:misc_RNA from 1 species
UUUCCGUAGGUGAACCUGCGGAAGGAUCAUUGCACACACAAAGUUGCAGCAAACCCUUUGCGAAUCAAAACAACCGUCCCCUCCUCUUUGGUCUUAACUGUUGGGGGAUUGGUUGGGGCACUUAACCAUAGUGUCCCGGCCUCUCCUCCUUCGGGGCUGCCAAGGGGGAACCCAAGUCCCUCCCUCCCUUCACUUGUUGGGGGAAGUGAGUGGCUUGGCAACCAACCGAUUGCGCAAUGCAUCAACACUUUCAAUAUGACUGAGUAUAAAAAUUUCGGCGCCUUCGGCGCCCGAGUUGUAAUAAACAAAAACAACUCUCAGCAACGGAUAUCUUGGCUCUU